CGCUUUUNGCUCACAUAAUAUAAAAGGUCAUGCCUGCCCAGUGAUAUUAACAUUUAACGGCCGCAAAAUUAACCGCGCAAAGGUAGCGCAAUAAAUUGUCUUUUAAAUGAAGACCGUACGAAUGGCAAAACGAGGGUUUAUCUGUCUCACUCUCUCCGUUAAUAAAAUUGAUCUUCCCGUACAAAAGCAAGAAUUGUUUUAUAAGACAAAAAGACCCUAUGGAGCUUUAGAAUCUGAAAUAGAACCAUUAAACUUAGCAAAUAAAUAAUUAUNNNNAAUCCCUAUUUCUUUUAUUUCUUUGGUUGGGGCGACCACGGAGAAAAAUAAAACCUCCACAAAGAUCACUAAAANNNUUUAUAAAAUAAGAAUAACAUUUCUCACUCAAAACAUAUGCUUAAAGAUGACCCGAAAACAUGUUCGAUCAACGAAACAAGCUACCCUGGGAUAACAGCGCAAUCCCCUUUUAGAGUCCGCAUCAACAAGGGGGUUUACGACCUCGAUGUUNGAUCAGGACAUCCCAAUGGCGUAAUCGCUAUUAAAGGUUCGUUUGUUCAACGAUUAAAGUCCUACC
rnacentral:rRNA from 1 species